AAAGAAAAGAAAAGAAAAAUCAAAUAAAAAGGCAUUUAUGACAUAAGCUUGAUGUAAUUAGAACCCCUUAGCCAAUCAAAACUUAACAAAUACAUUUAUAAGACAUUAAAUAAGAGAAAAGAAGUCAAAAUAGGGAAAAACAAUCUGCUCACCUUCACCUUCUUCCCCGAAUUUCCAUGGCCAUUUUCUUCAUCAAAUUUUCAAGCUUUAAGCUUGCAUUUUCUCUUUAUCUAUCCACCAAAAUCCCUAAGCCCCUUUACAAAAAUUUAUCCCCACAUCAAGAGGAAUAUUUGAUUAUCAAAAAGUGAGGAAAUUCAAAAAUUUCUACAAGUGCAAGAAGAGGUUAAAGUGAGGUUAGUGCUUAUUUAUAUAAGUAUUUCUUUUAUUUCAUGUUAGGAACUUGAAAUUGUUGUGAAAUGGUAGAUUAAAUGAACUAAACUCAUGUAUAUGUACCUAUGAAUUUUCGGCAGCCCUAGGAA
rnacentral:misc_RNA from 1 species